AAAUCGAGAGUUUCUUUUUCUCAGUGCUUUGCAUUUUUUGCUGGCAACACAUCAGGAAACACUGGUGAAGUUGUUUUCCCGUUUCCAUCUGUGUUACAAAAUACUUAAGGGGGAUUUCUUCAUGAACCUGUAUCGUUGUAAGUUUCCAUAGAAGGGAAGAACAAAACAAAGAAGAGCUGACAGAAAGAUAAUCUAAUCUUCUGAUUUUUAAAAAAGAAGCUUAGGUCAGGGAUAGAAAGAUGACUCAGCACCAAAGAGUGAUUUACUGUUCUUUCAGAAAUCUAAGAUGGAUUCCAGCACUAGUGUAUGGCUCACAGUCAACCACCUGUAAGUCUAACUCUUCAGGUAUCCCAGGCCUCUGGCAUCUAAGAGCAUCUGCAUUCUCCUGCACAAACACAAAGAGGAAAAGCACACACACACACACACACACACACACACACACACACACACACACACAAUUAGAAAUAAAAACAGAGAUGAGCAUGGUGGUGCACACUUUUAAUAUCAGCACUCAGGAGGCAGAGGCAGGUGAAUCUCUGUAAAUUCAAGUAGGUUCCAUUGACAGCUGGGGCUACAUAGAAAGAGCCUGUCUCACACACACACACACACACACACACACACAAUUUUUUUUUAAAUUACAACAUAAAAAUAAAACUUUAAAAAAUGCUUAGUAAUGGCUAGGUAUGGUUGUACACACCAUUAAUCACAGCACUUGGGAGGCAGGGGCCAGCGGGUCUCUGUGAGUUGGAAUCCAGUCUACAUAUUGAGUUCUACAACAGCCAAGGUAAAAUAGUAAAACCCUGUCUCAAAAUAAUAUUAAUAACAACAACAAUGACAACAGUAAUUGAUACUCAUGGCAAAAGGGUAACCAGAAGGCUUCUAGGCCCUAACUCCAUGAUAGAGCACUUAUCUAUGAUGCACCGCCCAUCCCCAUCCCUGCAAAUCACAUUAAUGUAGGUUGCGUUUUAACUGUGAAAAUGGAUCAAGUGCAUCUCAUUUGAAUAUUAAAGAGAACUCCAGGAAGGUGACAGUAAAACUGAGCCAUUUGCAGAGGCGAAUUAAAAUAGAUUUGCUUUUAAUCAACUCCUAUUUUCACACUGUGAAGAGCUGCUGUAUUUAGCAUGCUAGACAUGCUCACAGAGUUCAGUCAUGCGGAAUGGCGGCUGAGAUGGGGAAAGCUGCUGAGCGCCAGGCUCAGGCUUUGAGCAGUAACCUCGUCUCUGGAGUGGGUAAUUAAUAUACCUAUUUAGGCAGGAGGACAGAGUAGUCACCAGAUACUUCACGACAAAUUGAUACAAAAAGAAAUAGUUACAAAUACUGGGAGACAGGUACUUAAAAUAUAUGCAUUUCGUCUAAAAGCCACCAUAUAAAAAUAUGUAAACAAGCUCUAAAAUGACCCAGCCCAAAGCACAUGAGAACUGGACAAUAGCAAUUUCAGACAAGCCUGUUCUAAUCAGAGUCUUUGUUUUUCCAAAAAAUGAAACAAAAUAAAAUGCUCAAAAGUAUUUGACUACUUGAUGUAUCUGAGAGUCUAAUGGUAAGAGAGAGAGAGAGAGAGAGAGAGAGCAAUCUAAUACCAAACUAGCACACAGUGUGAGGAAAUUAUCUUCAUAGAUUAUCAGAACCCCCAAGUUGAAUAUUGUCUACCUAGACCUAGAGACUCUAACAAGAACUAAUACUUCAUAGUCUAAUGUUCUAAGAGAGUUAAAUAAUGUAUUCUCUGUUGGUUUUAGUUUUCCAGAAAAACAGAAUAACUUAAUAAUUUCUUAGAGGAUUGAUUCCUAACUUUCUAGCCUUUUUCAUCUGAGAGCAGUUGUUGGGAAGAUUUCUCCGGGUACAAGUGCUGCUGCUCUGUCUAAUAUCCAGAGUUAUUAACUAAUAUUUGUAGAAUUAUACUGAAAAGACACUGGAGGGAUACUUAUAAAUGUAAAUCAUGGUUGUUGUUUCAGGUAACAGAAUCUGAAUUUUCUUGUUUCUUCUGGAAUAGCUUCCCGUGACUCAGGAUAGCCAAAAGUUUCCAUGGAGUCCGGGAUGGCCUCUGUUUCUCAAGUGUGGGGAUCACAGGAGUGAGCCACUUUAAUCAGUGAGGAUGUGGAUUAAAAAAAAAAAAUAUUUGGCUAGGUGUAGUGACACAUACCCUUAGUCCCAGCACUUGAGAGGCAGUGAGUUCCAGGACAGCCAGGGCUAUACAAAGAAACCCAGUGUUGAAAAACCAAAAUAAAUAAGAUAGAUAGAUAGAUAGAUAGAUAGAUAGAUAGAUAGUCCUCUAUAUUUUCUAAACUUCUCUUCACUUUUAUAAUUGGAAAAAAUCAUAACAAAUAUACUUUGGGAUUCUUUAUUUUGCAGUGUGGUGCUGGGAAUCAAACGCAGAGUUUCCACACAUGCCAUUUGAGCUCACCCUCAGUCCAAUUAAAUGAGAUUUUCUUGGAAGGCAGCAGCUGAAUCAAUUAGGGUUCCUCUGAAAUGUUAGUACUUGACUACCAUAAAUCACUAUGUACAAUAGAUCCCAUAUGAACAAAUGGUAAUGUUACUAACAGUCAUUUUCAUAGAUCCUUUUCUUUUUUUAUUUUCAUUUUUAUUUUUUGAUCAGGCCUGGACUCCCUACCAAUUGCCUCUGCCAUUGCUGGAAUUAAUGGCAUUUUACUGCCUCAUUUAUCCUUUAAAACCCCAAAAGUAGUGUUAAUCUUCACAUUC
rnacentral:lncRNA from 1 species